rnacentral:rRNA from 1 species
UACGUAGGGUGCGAGCGUUGUCCGGAAUUACUGGGCGUAAAGAGCUCGUAGGCGGUUUGUCGCGUUGUCCGUGAAAACUCACAACUCAAUUGUGGGCGUGCGGGCGAGACGGGCAGACUGGAGUACUGCAGGGGAGACUGGAAUUCCUGGUGUAGCGGUGGAAUGCGCAGAUAUCAGGAGGAACACCGGUGGCGAAGGCGGGUCUCUGGGCAGUAACUGACGCUGAGGAGCGAAAGCGUGGGGAGCGAACAGG